UGCUGGGGGUGCCGAUGGGGUUCGGCUGAGAAUAAAGCCAUUGCUUUAUACCCUUGAACCUGAUCUAGAUGAUACUAGCGUAGGGAAGCGUUAAAA
rnacentral:ncRNA from 1 species